rnacentral:rRNA from 1 species
AGAAUUCCAGGUGUAGCGGUGAAAUGCGUAGAGAUCUGGAGGAAUACCGGUGGCGAAGGCGGCCCCCUGGACGAAGACUGACGCUCAGGUGCGAAAGCGUGGGGAGCAAACAGGAUUAGAUACCCUGGUAGUCCACGCCGUAAACGAUGUCGACUUGGAGGUUGUGCCCUUGAGGCGUGGCUUCCGGAGCUAACGCGUUAAGUCGACCGCCUGGGGAGUACGGCCGCAAGGUUAAAACUCAAAUGAAUUGACGGGGGCCCGCACAAGCGGUGGAGCAUGUGGUUUAAUUCGAUGCAACGCGAAGAACCUUACCUGGUCUUGACAUCCACGGAAGUUUUCAGA